rnacentral:rRNA from 1 species
UACGUAGGGUGCAAGCGUUGUCCGGAAUUAUUGGGCGUAAAGAGCUCGUAGGCGGUUUGUCGCGUCGGCUGUGAAAACCUGGGGCUCAACCCCCGGGCCUGCAGCCGAUACGGGCAAACUAGAAUUCGGUAGGGGAGACUGGAAUUCCUGGUGUAGCGGUGAAAUGCGCAGAUAUCAGGAGGAACACCGGUGGCGAAGGCGGGUCUCUGGGCCGAUAUUGACGCUGAGGAGCGAAAGCGUGGGGAGCGAACAGG